AUGGCUCAGAUUGAACGCUGGCGGCAGGCCUAACACAUGCAAGUCGAGCGGUAGAGAGAAGCUUGCUUCUCUUGAGAGCGGCGGACGGGUGAGUAAUGCCUAGGAAUCUGCCUGGUAGUGGGGGAUAACGUUCGGAAACGGACGCUAAUACCGCAUACGUCCUACGGGAGAAAGCAGGGGACCUUCGGGCCUUGCGCUAUCAGAUGAGCCUAGGUCGGAUUAGCUAGUUGGUGAGGUAAUGGCUCACCAAGGCGACGAUCCGUAACUGGUCUGAGAGGAUGAUCAGUCACACUGGAACUGAGACACGGUCCAGACUCCUACGGGAGGCAGCAGUGGGGAAUAUUGGACAAUGGGCGAAAGCCUGAUCCAGCCAUGCCGCGUGUGUGAAGAAGGUCUUCGGAUUGUAAAGCACUUUAAGUUGGGAGGAAGGGUUGUAGAUUAAUACUCUGCAAUUUUGACGUUACCGA
rnacentral:rRNA from 1 species